rnacentral:lncRNA from 1 species
UUCUUCUCUGAGGCCCUCAAUCCUUCUCUCUUCUUCUCUGAGGCCUGACCUCUCUUCUCCCCCUUCUCCAUUCGACCCACACACACACAGAUCUCCCCCUUCUCCCACUCUCUCGAUCCUUCGCCCACUCUCUCGAUCCUUCGCUGCCGUUGAUCGUGGCUCUGGCGAAGUCGGACUUGGCUCAGUCGUCUCUGGUGGUGCGCCGCUGAGCAAGGAGUUGGCCCAGUCAUCAAUUUUUCAGGUGAGAUUCCAUUGAAACCCUAAGUCCUAAACCGACAUCACAUAUGUUGAAUCGUUGAUGCAUGCGUGAAAUUUGAAGCUUAUAUGUGAAAUUGAAGUUAAAAAUCGUGUUUUUGCAAGGUUUUUGGGACGAAAUGGGCUCGGGAAUAGGCACACCAUCUCCGGCGUUCGAUAUCGGAGGCCGAUUGCACCGUUCAACAAAAUAUCUCGAUAUUUCCAAAAUAUCGCGAUAUUAUCGAUAUUAUCGAUAAUAUCGCGAUAUUUGGACGAAAACCACACGGAUACCUAUUUAAAUAUCCAUUCCCCGAAAAAUCGAUAUUAUCGGCGAUAUUUCGCCGAUAAUAUCGAUAUUUAAAUCCAUGG